AAGUAUAAGGACUAGAAUGUGCGU
rnacentral:miRNA from 1 species